UCCUCGAGUUCCUUUGCGAAGUUCGCCUUCCUCCGACUGUAAUCCAUGAUCGCCUUCACAUGGAGACUCCGAAAGUGGGCGGCCUCAGCGGCGGCUUCAGAAUGGCCUUCUCUCGAUUUGCGGAGUUCGCCUUCCGUCUUCUUCAACUUCUUCGUCAAGUGAAGGACCUCUUUUUUCAACCGCUGGAUUGUCGAUUUCAGCGGGACCCCCAGGGGCAAGGGGAGUGCUUCUACAGGGCACUGCC
rnacentral:lncRNA from 1 species